rnacentral:rRNA from 1 species
AGAGUUUGAUCAUGGCUCAGGACGAACGCUGGCGGCGUGCUUAACACAUGCAAGUCGAGCGGAAAGGGCCACUUCGGUGGUACUCGAGCGGCGAACGGGUGAGUAACACGUGAGUAAUCUGCCCUUGGCUUUGGGAUAGCCACCGGAAACGGUGAUUAAUACCGAAUAUGACCACUUCACGCAUGUGAUGGUGGUGGAAAGUUUUUCGGCCAGGGAUGUGCUCGCGGCCUAUCAGCUUGAUGGUGAGGUAAUGGCUCACCAUGGCUUCGACGGGUAGCCGGCCUGAGAGGGUGACCGGUCACACUGGGACUGAGACACGGCCCAGACUCCUACGGGAGGCAGCAGUGGAGAAUAUUGGACAAUGGGCGGAAGCCUGAUCCAGCAACGCCGCGUGAGGGAUGACGGCCUUCGGGUUGUAAACCUCUUUCGGUGGGGACGAAGCGCAAGUGACGGUACCCACUAAAGAAGCACCGGCCAACUACGUGCCAGCAGCCGCGGUAAUACGUAGGGUGCGAGCGUUGUCCGGAAUUAUUGGGCGUAAAGGGCUCGUAGGCGGUUUGUCGCGUCGGGAGUGAAAACGCCGUGCUUAACACGGCGCUUGCUUUCGAUACGGGCAGACUAGAGGUAUUCAGGGGAGAACGGAAUUCCUGGUGUAGCGGUGAAAUGCGCAGAUAUCAGGAGGAACACCGGUGGCGAAGGCGGUUCUCUGGGAAUGACCUGACGCUGAGGAGCGAAAGUGUGGGGAGCGAACAGGAUUAGAUACCCUGGUAGUCCACACCGUAAACGUUGGGCGCUAGGUGUGGGGUCCAUUCCACGGAUUCCGUGCCGCAGCUAACGCAUUAAGCGCCCCGCCUGGGGAGUACGGCCGCAAGGCUAAAACUCAAAGGAAUUGACGG